CUUCAUCUUUCAAGAAAUUAUCAAGGAAAAUUGCCCUGAUAUGCUAGAACCCGAGGGCAAAAUAGAAAUUAAAAGAAUCCACUGAUCACCUCCAGAAAGUCAUCCCAAAACAAUAGUUCUGAGGAGUAUUAUAGCCAAAUAUCUGAACUCUCAGUUCAAGGAGAAAAUAUUGCCAAUAGACAAAAAUAAACAAUUCAAAUAUUAUGGAGCCAUAGUCAGGAUAACAGAAGAUUUAGCAAGUUCAUCAAUAAACAAUUGGAAGAUAUGGAAUAUGAUAUUCCAAAGGAGAUUGCACAACUACCUUUCUGUGAAUGAAUCAGAAGUGAGGCAAUUCCACUGGAUCAUAGAAGAUGGAAAUGCCCCCAGGCUGGCCUUUAAAGACUUAUCAGUCAGUGAAUUAUGGCAGAAUUAUGUGGAAGAUAGCCUGAGGCUCAUCUUCCAGACUGAACCUUACUUUUGA
rnacentral:lncRNA from 1 species